CUUUGAUUUUCCCCCAAAAAUUCAGCGUGAAUCAUGUAUUUCGGUUCAACUACCUUGCCAUUUAAUGGCGACGAGGCAAAGUGAACACUUCAUAAUUUUCUCUUCGAAGUGUGAAUAUCCAGUUGUUGUCAUCAAUGUCUCAAGUAAUUCGCAAUGGGAUAUUGUAUCUGAACUCAGGGCUAUUGUAUCCUUCUUCGUCUAGUUUCGGAACUCAGGGCUAUUGUAUCCUUCUUCGGCAGCUCUGCACAUGGGAUCUCUGAGGCAGAAGUACCGAAAGGGCGACCGGAGUCGGCGUUUGUGGAAUGCCCGGGAAGAAGAGGUAUUGGCUGCUUCUUUAUUGGAACUUACUGCACGUGGAUGGAAAUCGGACAAUGGUUUCAGGACCGGCUAUCUCCAACGCAUCGAAGACGACCUUCGUAAGGAAUUUCCCAAUACCUACCUGAAGGGUACGCCCCAUGUUGUCUCGAAGAUCUCUGCUUGGAAGGCCAACUUCAAUAGUCUCCGGAACAUGCUUCCAAGGACUGGCGUAGGCUUCAAUCCAGACGGCACCCAUAAGAUCGACUGCAGUGACGAGCAAUGGGAAUAGAUUGUGGCUAGAUCGCUCUACUGGUGCUGUUAGUGAAGACAUUGCUGAUGGCGCAAAUGCAGUGAGGACGGAGAAUGCAGCUCGGUAAGAUCAUCCCAAUGAUGAUCCAUCGAACGACUACGUUGUCAACCUUGACGAUUUGUUUGAUGAACCGAUGAACCCCACUUUCAGUCCAACUCCGGAAAGCCACCACUCUGAAAGCACGGAACAGAGUGAGCAACAUGAGCAACCUCCACCAAAGACACCGAAAGAGCGGAAAGCUGUUUCGACUGAUGUCAUGCUGCUGGAGUUCCUAGAUCAUAUGCACUCUGGGACAAACAAAAGACUUGAUGUCAUCUCUUCCAGAAUUGAAUAUGCGUUUGAUUUGGGGCAAGCAAGGCAAGCUAUACAUCGCAAACUUGGUAGUGUUGUGGGUAUCACAAGCGAGCAGAGGUAUGAGUUGUGUGACAUACUUGCUGACAAGCCUCAACGUCUUGAAGUUUUCAUUGGUAUGGACAAUGAUGCGAAACCGAGGUACGUGCUCAGGUUUAUGGGGCAGAACCCAAAGGCACCCUGAAUGUGGUCGGCAUGUGCGUGCUUCUCUUUUGACUGUGGUGGCAGUAUUAGUUGAUGGUCGACAUCUACACCAUAUGCUCUUAGCUCCUUUAUUCCCUAUCUUGUAUAGUUUGGGUAAUGUUUGAAAACUUUGUGUCUUAUUUGGUAUUUUGUAGACCUAAUUAUGAACUUCAUGUGUGUUAGUUCGGCCAAAUAUGGACACAGUCAUAUUUGGUGAAUUAACAUCAACAACAUAUUGCUAGCUUUUGAUAUAUAUGAUAUGAUAUUUUAUAGUUUA